AUGGCAUAAUAUGGACAUUGUCUCUCCAACUCAUUCUAUCUCAUCCAUGAUUCAUAAAGAGUCUCAUCUUCUCUUAGCCGAAAAACAGUCAUCUGAUUUCUCAACUC